rnacentral:rRNA from 1 species
UACGUAGGGUGCGAGCGUUGUCCGGAAUUAUUGGGCGUAAAGGGCUCGUAGGCGGUUCGUCGCGUCGGGAGUGAAAUCCUACGGCUUAACUGUGGGCGUGCUUUCGAUACGGGCGGACUGGAGGUAGGCAGGGGAGAACGGAAUUCCUGGUGUAGCGGUGGAAUGCGCAGAUAUCAGGAGGAACACCGGUGGCGAAGGCGGUUCUCUGGGCCUUACCUGACGCUGAGGAGCGAAAGCGUGGGGAGCGAACAGGAUUAGAAACCCCCGUAGUCC